CACGGCCUCGGGCACGGCGACAGCACGGUCGGCUCUGUGCUGGCGGCCGGGACGCUCGGCACGCUCGGUGCGUCGUUCGCCGUCGACCGGCUGCGCC
rnacentral:tRNA from 1 species